UACGUAGGGGGCAAGCGUUGUCCGGAAUCAUUGGGCGUAAAGAGCGUGUAGGCGGCCCGGUAAGUCCGCCGUGAAAGUCCAGGGCUCAACCCUGGGAUGCCGGUGGAAACUGUCGGGCUCGAGUCCGGAAGAGGCGAGUGGAAUUCCUGGUGUAGCGGUGAAAUGCGCAGAUAUCAGGAGGAACACCAAUAGCGAAGGCAGCUCGCUGGGACGUGACUGACACUAAGGCGCGAAAGCCAGGGGAGCGAACGGG
rnacentral:rRNA from 1 species